rnacentral:rRNA from 1 species
UACGGGGGGGGUAAGCGUUGUUCGGAAUUACUGGGCGUAAAGGGCUCGUAGGCGGCCAACUAAGUCAGACGUGAAAUCCCUCAGCUUAACUGGGGAACUGCGUCUGAUACUGGAUGGCUUGAAUCCGGGAGAGGGAUGCGGAAUUCCAGGUGUAGCGGUGAAAUGCGUAGAUAUCUGGAGGAACACCGGUGGCGAAGGCGGCAUCCUGGACCGGCAUUGACGCUGAUGAGCGAAAGCCAGGGGAGCAAAGCGGG